CGGAUCUUCCUAAUUGGGUACCUCAGCCGAGGGCUGCCUUCUUCAGUACUUUGUUCAAUGACAUCCAAAUUACUGUUGAUGUCAGCCCCUCGGCUGUGUACCAAGUGCAUCGUGGGAAUGG
rnacentral:precursor_RNA from 8 species